rnacentral:lncRNA from 1 species
AUGGUAUAUUUGUUUGUGCUGGGCAGGAGCAGAUAUGGAGGCUUUAUAAACCACCUGGAUUAUGGCUUCACUUGCUGUAUGGGGAGGAAGACCACGAUGAAGAUCCUGAUGAGUUUCCCUUUUUUUCUUUUGGCCCUAGCAGGUGCUUUGUUAGCAGUCGAUCCGAGGACUGACAGUCCUACUGAUGGUCUGCACCAUGUGCUCGUCACUACUCGUUAUGAUGAUCUCGGCCACUGUGGGGGAACUCUGAUCAGUUCUGAGUGGGUCCUAACUGCAGCCUACUGCAAACAGUCGUAAGAGCCUGUACAACAAUCAUAUACUAGAUACAGUACCAGUUAAAAGUUUCUUAAUUUAUUUAAUUGGCAUUGUAGAUUAAUAUUGAACACAUGAAAAAAAAUUAAGGGACACAAAAAAGUGUUUGUUCUCCACAACCCCCUGUCCAAAACUCCACUGAGAUGGUGAUUUAAUGUGGUUUGGGAUGAGCUGGAGCAACUAUUGUUCAGCACCUCCAGCAAAUCCUUCAAGAUGCCUCAGUGUGACACUAACAGGAGUGUGUAGAUCUCUUAAUGUCUUCAAUAUUAUAUUUACAUUGUAGUAAAUACUAAAAAGAACGAAAAAUUGAAUAAAAGGUAUGUCGAAACAUUUGAUAGGUACUGU